rnacentral:rRNA from 1 species
AUUGAACGCUGGCGGCAGGCCUAACACAUGCAAGUCGAGCGGGGUUUUCGGACCUAGCGGCGGACGGGUGAGUAAUGCGUAGGAAGCUACCCGAUAGAGGGGGAUACCAGUUGGAAACGACUGUUAAUACCGCAUAAUGUCUACGGACCAAAGUGUGGGACCUUCGGGCCACAUGCUAUCGGAUGCGCCUGCGUGGGAUUAGCUAGUUGGUGGGGUAAUGGCGCACCAAGGCGACGAUCCCUAGCUGGGUCGAGAGGAUGAUCAGCCACACUGGAACUGAGGCACGGUCCAGACUCCUACGGGGGGCAGCAGUGGGGAAUAUUGGACAAUGGGCGAAAGCCUGAUCCAGCCAUGCCGCGGGUGUGAAGAAGGCCUUCGGGUUGUAAGGCACUUUCAGUAGGGAGGAAGGGUGUUGUGUUAAUAGCACAGCAUUUUGACGUUACCUACAAAAGAAGCACCGGCUAACUCUGUGCCAGCCGCCGCCGUAACAC